AAGGUGGACGAGGAAGAUGUGGUCUCGCACAUCCUCGCUGGACUGGAGGAAGAUUUCGAUCCCGUGGUGUCCGCCAUAUGCUCACGGGUUGAACCUGUGACUGUCCCGGAGCUGUACUCGCAGCUUUUGUGCUUCGAGA
rnacentral:snoRNA from 1 species